rnacentral:rRNA from 1 species
UGGCGACCGGCGCACGGGUGAGUAACGCGUAUGCAACCGUACCUAUCAGAGGGGAAUAACCCGGCGAAAGUCGGACUAAUACCGCAUAAAACAGGGGUUCCACAUGGAAAUAUUUGUUAAAGAAAUUUAUCGCUGAUAGAUGGGCAUGCGUUCCAUUAGAUAGUUGGUGAGGUAACGGCUCACCAAGUCCACGAUGGAUAGGGGUUCUGAGAGGAAGGUCCCCCACACUGGUACUGAGACACGGACCAGACUCCUACGGAAGGCAGCAG